CAAGGCGACGAUCCCUAGCUGGUCUGAGAGGAUGACCAGCCACACUGGAACUGAGACACGGUCCAGACUCCUACGGGAGGCAGCAGUGGGGAAUAUUGCACAAUGGGCGCAAGCCUGAUGCAGCCAUGCCGCGUGUAUGAAGAAGGCCUUCGGGUUGUAAAGUACUUUCAGCGGGGAGGAAGGUGUUGUGGUUAAUAACC
rnacentral:rRNA from 1 species